CUGAAGCGCAGUCACACACUUCCUCGUCGCUGUGUUGAUAAACAAAUCUCAUUUCAUUCAUUUUGUUUCAAGCGAGGAUGACAACGACUUUGUUUAAAAUCUUAAUUUAAUAGCUUUCCUUUUUUUAAUUUACACGAUGAAAAAUGAGUGAUUCCGCUGGUCAGGGCACUGAUGGAUUUUAUAAUAUGGUUUACCACAGUCAUCACAAAUGUCAUUUUGUCUGUCUCAGCCUUGCAUGCUGCUCUUCAGCUCUUCAAGGACCACAGAGCUUCCGCACUGGGCUUUCUCCUGAUCGGCUGCUCCUCUGUACUUUCAGUCUUUUCACCCAGUAACCAACCAAUCAUAUCACUCCUGAAGGAUCUAGAAUGGGCAGGUGAAACACUUGGACCAGCACUCUCUACCUUUGACUUCUUGUGGCUUAGUGAGGACCACUUCACUGCCCGUAUCCUCCUGAUUGGCUCCUCCUCUCUCCUAAUACUCUCUGAUUGGCUAUCACCAGAUGGGUUGAUGAUUAUGUCAUGCUGCCUGGCCUUCUCCUCCCUUUCCUGUUCACUGACAGUGUGUGCAUUUGCUGAAAAUGCAGUAGGGGCAGUAGGAAGUGUCGCUCUCAGUCUCCCAUUAUUAGUGUCCCCAAGGAGCAGAUCUAAAUCCCCUGAGGUUACAAAAGGACUUCUCAGCUGGAUCCUUAAAAUCAUCAUGGCAUUAGGAUGCUGGACCACUAGGAAGGCCCUUAAUAAAUACCUGCUUGAUUUAAAAGGUUGGGACUGAACCAUGUCAUCUUUCACAGUGGGAUUUAACAUACUUGAAAACAAUGUGUUUCUGAAGACAACGGUGAACCACAAAGUGCUACUUCUUUACUCUCAGGUGUUUAGCAGGUAUAGAUUAUGUGUACUUCUGUAGUUAAAAGCUCUUUAGAGCUAAUAUCAUGAUAAACUUACAUAAUGGUUUAUAAUAGGCCUACUAAAACCUGAGGUUGUUAGAAUGUGUAAUAAUAUGAUUAUAAAGUUUGGUUAUGACAUAUUAAAUACAUUACAGUUACACUGAGGCCUUGAAAAAUCCCUGUGCAAUGAAUAUUUUUUUUUAGCAUCACUAACAAUGUAUUCCUUUGUAAAGAAAGAAUGUGACCCUGUCUAAACAGACAUAGUAUUCUCAUUUGUGCAGGGCACCAUUCAGCUGUGAAAACAAUGAAGCACAUUGAAAGGACACAUCAAUGAUCAGUACACUGUAACAAUUUAUUUGUGACCAUUAUUUGAGUUUUUAUCUAAACUAGCAGGUUUAGUGAAUAUACUAACUUCCAUUGGCUUUAGAUUCGUAGUACUCUGGAUUGUUUGAAAACAUGUCAAAUAAUUACUUAAUACUUAUUAAAAAUGUUUGGGUAGCUAAUGCCUAAUGUGUCCUUAGACAUUUCUUUUAACAACAUCAAGAUGUUAGGUUUAAAUUCAUAUGAAUGUAUAACGGUAAGUGUAUAUCUUAGGUCCCGUGACCAUUUAUUUUGUUUUUCAUUCAUUUUGAUUCAUCUUUUGGCUUUACUACUUUAUUUUAAAUGUUACUGCAGUGUGACAGAUUAAUUUUUAAAAGUAUUUUUUUUCUAUGCAGUGUCUCUAUUAAUAUGAGGACAUAAAAGCUCAAUUAGAUGGAGCAUAGCAUGUCACACUGGAGGACAUGCCAACUUCCUAAAAGUAUUUCAUGUCAUCUACCCUUUUACAAACCAUGACAUAUGCCAUUAUUUUGUAGACUUUAACCAAACCCUGAGAAGAAUGCGAGCAAGCUCAUAGCCUGCACUCACUAAAUGCAGAUUCCCCAUUGCUGCAGGCCACAGAUUUAUCUUGCUAAGUCACCCUUAGUUCUGUUCAGCUUCUAGCCAUGGUUGUAUGCAAAAAGCCUUACAGUGUGCGCAUGCCAGGAGUGUGAAGCAGCAUAUCUGUCUGUUGUGCUGCCUCAUCAUUCUAAGAGCCUUGUCUGCUCUCAUACAUCACUGUAUUGAUUCACUUUGCAAUGCAGUUGGCAAAAACAAAUUACAUCAAAUGGAAUGAUUGUGUACUCAAAGAACUACAGACAUAUUCUUUCUUGCUCACUGGAUGUAAUGUUCUUUAGAUACAGCAUGAUGUUGUCUAUUGCAUAAUUAUAUAACAAUGGAGGAUUAUUUGCCUUAAAUACCUGAAUUAAUGAGGUGUUUAGUAAACACUUCAUGUACGCUUGUGUCAGGACAGCAGGGAAAUGCAAUCCUUGUCUUAGGUGCUUAUCACUAUAGUAAGUCUACAGUAAAAUAUGAUUUUACAUUAGCCAUAAGCCAUUUAUUUCUGCAAUAUUAUGACUCUAUUCAUGGGAAAAGGGAACACAGUGAGGAUGGUCCAAUAUAGUCAGCACUUAACAGCCAAAUGGCCUGAACAUAUUGCAAGGUUCCUGUAGCUCAACUGGUAGAGCCUCAUAGGUUUGAUUGCCAGGGAGCACACCAUCUGAUAAAAUGUAUACCCUGAAUGCACUGUAAGUCGCUUUGGAUAAAGGCAUCUGCCAA